rnacentral:ncRNA from 1 species
CCGUACCUAGAACCUAUCCCAAGUAAGCAAGUAGAGUAUACAAAGGCGUUUGAGUGAACAAUCAUUAAGGAACUCGGCAAAUUGACUCUGUACCUUCGGAAUAAGGAGGGCCAUUAUUAUUAUAUAUGAUGAAAUAUCAUAUUAAUAAUAAGAGGAAUCAUAAAAUAAUGUUGUACGACUGUUUAAUAAAAACACAGCACUCUGCAAAGAUAAAAAAUCAAAGUAUUGAGUGUGAUGUCUGCCCAAUGUCGGCUGGGUAACGGAUUUACCUUGGUUAU